rnacentral:rRNA from 1 species
UACAGAGGGGGCAAGCGUUGUUCGGAAUUACUGGGCGUAAAGGGCGCGUAGGCGGCCUGUUAAGUCGAACGUGAAAUCCCCGGGCUCAACCCGGGAACUGCGUCCGAUACUGGCAGGCUUGAAUCCGGGAGAGGGAUGUGGAAUUCCAGGUGUAGCGGUGAAAUGCGUAGAUAUCUGGAGGAACACCGGUGGCGAAGGCGGCAUCCUGGACCGGUAUUGACGCUGAGGCGCGAAAGCGUGGGGAGCAAACAGG